AACCCCAUUUACUGUUGUAUCUUUUUUUAUGAGGUUUGGAUUAUGAUAUGAAAUCUUAUGGUAUGAGAGUACUUCUUCUGUAUCCCCUCCCCUUCCCUGACUCUAAAUAAUUAGGAUAAAUAGAGUUUGAUUCUUUUGGGAUGAAUAAGUUGGGCAUUGUUGUUGUACAGACUUCAAGCUUACGGUGUGUACAGUUCAUGGGUUGGUGCUUCUAUUGUUGCCUCUAUCAUCUAGGGGAGGUUGAUGAAGGGGGUGGAUGAUGAGGGAGGUUCAUUUUGGUGUUGGAGGUGGUUAAUUGAUCAGUGUAUAUCUAUUAAUGAUAUAAAAAUUAUACCUGGAUUGGAGAGAUAGAUACACUCUAGCUGCUUGUUAGAUGUUCCACCGUCCUCCCUAACUCGUGUCACAUCACAAAGAAAAAACAUGUAUCCCCUAAUUUUCUCCAUUUCAUCAAAGCGUGUUUCUUUUUAUAUACAAUAAUUUUAAUUAC